rnacentral:ncRNA from 2 species
UACUUUUGCUCCUGCAACGGUUUCCUUAAUUGUUAAGGAAUGAAAAGGGAACCGGGUGAGAAUCCCGGACAUUACCCGAUGCUGUAAGCUUCAUAGAAAGCCUUUUGUAUCCUCAAUGCCACUGUUAUCAUGACGGGAAGGCCACAAAAGGUGAAGUAAGUCAGAAGACCUGCCAAUGCAAAAUUACUUAU